CUGAAAGUAGCUUGGUGGUAAAGUGCUUGCUUUGCAUGCAUGAAGCCCUGGGUUCAAACCCCGAUUCCAGA
rnacentral:tRNA from 1 species